AUGGCACCCUUCUCGAGCCGCGGGCCGAACUUCCAAGUGCCAGAGAUCCUCAAGCCAGACGUCACUGCCCCCGGCUUGGAGAUCCUCGCCGCUUGGACCGGCACCGCCUCACCCUCGGGCCUCGACAGCGACUCGAGACGAGUACACUACAAUGUCGUAUCGGGCACGUCCAUGGCGUGCCCACAUGUGAGCGGCAUCGCUGCAAUGCUCCGGCAGGCGAGGCCGGAGUGGAGCCCCGCCGCGAUCAAGUCCGCCCUGAUGACCACCGCGUACAACAUGGACAACGCCGGCCACGUCAUCGGAGACAUGGCCACCGGCAAGGCGUCCACGCCGUUCGCGCGCGGGGCAGGCCACGUGGACCCCAACCGCGCCCUUGACCCAGGCCUCGUGUACGACGCCGGCAUGGACGACUAUGUCACCUUCCUGUGCGCACUCGGCUACACCGCUGACGAGGUUGCCAUCUUCACGAGAGACGGCUCGUCGACCAACUGCUCGACGCUCCCGGGUUCAGGCUAUGUGGGAGACCACAACUACCCGGCCUUCGUGGCGGUGUUCACCUCGCGGAACGAGACCAUCACGCAGCACCGCAUGGUGCGCAACGUCGGCAACAAUGUGGAUGCGACGUACCGAGCCACGGUAACCAGCCCCGCCGGCAUGCGCGUCGACGUGAAGCCGCAGAAGCUGCAGUUCAGCACUACGCACAACACACAGGAGUACCAGGUCACCUUCUCUAUCCGAGCCGCGGGGAGCAUAAAGGAGUACACGUUCGGGUCGAUCACGUGGAGCGACGGAAAGCACACUGUGACGAGCCCCAACGCCAUCGCCUGGCGGCCGCCGGUGAGCGAAGUCGCGGCGAUGUGA
rnacentral:rRNA from 1 species